UACGAAGGGGGCUAGCGUUGCUCGGAAUUACUGGGCGUAAAGGGUGCGUAGGCGGGUCUUUUAAGUCAGGGGUGAAAUCCUGGAGCUCAACUCCAGAACUGCCUUUGAUACUGAAGAUCUUGAGUUCGGGAGAGGUGAGUGGAACUGCGAGUGUAGAGGUGAAAUUCGUAGAUAUUCGCAAGAACACCGGUGGCGAAGGCGGCCAACUGGACCAUUACUGACGCUGAGGCGCGAAAGCGUGGGGAGCAAACAGG
rnacentral:rRNA from 1 species